CGGGAAGAGCUCAAAUUUAAAAUCUGGCAGUGUAUUCUGUCCGAGUUGUAGUCUAGAGAAGCAUCAUCCGUGCUGGACCAUGUACAAGUCUCUUGGAACAGAGCGUCAUAGAGGGUGAGAAUCCCGUCCUUGACAUGGACUCCCAGUACUUUGUGUUGUGCUCUCAAC
rnacentral:rRNA from 1 species